AUGCUUGUGGCAGUGUUAUCUGUAGCCAUGGUGAUGCUGACAGGUCACCUGAUGUAUGGGCUGCCUAUGGACGGAAAAAGGAGAAAUCCGAGGGCCCUUUCAGAUGAGCUGUGUGAUCCAGGAUAUCACAAGUCACACGGUAUGUGUGUUCAAUGCAAAGUGGGUUUCUACACCAGUGAGAAAAACAGAGAGGAAACUUGCCUCCGCUGCUUCCAGAACUGCAUACCUGAAUUCAACAUGGAGGUGGAGAAGGAUUGCACAAGCACAUCAAAUCUAGUGUGUCGCUGUCGAGAGGGUUACGUUUGUUUGACCGAUCCACACACACGCCUAUGUGACAGCUGUGUUCCUGUCUCCACCACAAUCCCAUCCUCCACCUCUCCUGAUGUCCCAUCAUCCACUACAUCCACCACUUCAUCUACUAAGAUUAAACUGGGUGACAGUAGUCUUGUGAUGUGGAUUUUAUGUGGAUUAAGUUUUCUAAUUUUAUCCGUUAUCAUCCUCAUGCUGUUCCUCCGGCUCUGCAGGAAGAAGGAGAAGGAAUGUUUUAAACAUUUUGUCAGGCAGUGCUCGUUGGGUAAUAUGGAGGUGGACAGUGAGACUGCACCUCCUACUAGCCAACCAGAUGAGAAGCCCCAUGCCCAGGAUAUGCUGUCACAGGGCAGCACACCCACCAAUCACAGCACAGACUGCUCGUUUCAUCAGCCAAUCAGCUCAGAGCAGACUGUGCCUCCAGCUGGCAAUUUAGGCCCUCUUCACAUCUACGGUCCCAAGACAGUUUUUGUUAGUUUGCUCAAUCAAUUUGGACUGGAUGGUGGCGAGAAAAAAGCACACGAACUCCAAGAAGAAUCGCUAAACAAUAUCAACGUGCCCUACCCUCAGUCUCCCCCCGUCCAUCUGUCUGAGGAGGAAAGGAGCAGAGAGAACGAUUUCAUCUUCUUCCCAUCUCAGGAGCAAGGGAAAGAGUGCCACAUAUCUAAAGAAGAGGUGCUGUGAGGGAUAACGGAUUACUUGUACCCGUCUUCUUCCGUACUGUUCGACUGCUGUGUGGUUUGUUUUAGCUGAUGCUUCAUGAGUACCCAGUAAAACUCUAACCCUGGCAGGGGAUUUCAUCUAGAGAGCAACAGGCUGCUUUAGGGGAAGGCCUGGGUGUGUGACUAACAGUAUGGACGACAUACUUGUUGUGUAUGAGCUUGACAGUUCAUGCCAGCUUUGCAAUAUCACCCAUAAAGUACGUUUAUGCGUAACCACUGAUUCUAAACCAUCAGAACGGCAGUGGGAUGCCGAUGUUGACUGUAGGAAGAGUCGAUACCAAAGGCUUUUACGUCUUACGAUGGCUAAAUGACUCUCAGGAAGUGUUUGAAAGCAAAGAGCAGCUCUAAAACACUCAGAAGACCAAAGAUUCACAUAUAUUGCGAUAUUUAUUUUAUGUAAAUUUAUUGAAGUCAUUGUAACUGCAAUGUGUCCCAUAAUUUCCUAUCUAUCUAUCUAUCUAUCUAGGGCAUUUUGAGUCUUGACAUUAGUGAAUAUAAAACAUUUAUAUUUAUUUAUACUAUUAUUAAUUCUAUUACAAAUGUUAAAGACACAAAAACAGGUUUUUUGUUCUCACGCAGUUUAUCAGUGUUCAAUCACGUUAAGUCCCUGGUUAAUGUUGUCAGUGUUCUUCCUCUUUUCUUUGGUUUUUAUGCAGCAGACAUGAUGGAUUGUGCCAUCAAAGAAAACCCUGACAUUUUGAUGGUGGUCUGGAAAUGUCAACAUUGCUUCUUCAUUUAGAAGUCAAUAAGCACAGCACAGGAACACUCAGUAGCUGUUGUGUCAUCAUAUAUUAUGUUUUAUAUUCGCUGUAAUACACAUUUUUAAACUUGAUAUUAAUCGUAAAGUGCAAUAGAAUCAAUAAAGAUUUAUUUUUUGACA
ensembl:lncRNA